rnacentral:rRNA from 1 species
AUGCCUACGGGACGCAGCAGUCGGGAAUAUUGCGCAAUGGAGGAAACUCUGACGCAGUGACGCCGCGUGCAGGAAGAAGGUUUUCGGAUUGUAAACUGCUUUAGACAGGGAAGAAAAAAGACAGUACCUGUAGAAUAAGCUCCGGCUAACUACGUGCCAGCCGCCGCGGGAAUACGUAGGGAGCGAGCGUUAUCCGGAUUUAUUGGGUGUAAGGGGUGCGUAGACGGAGAAGCAAGUUAGUU